UACGUAGGGUGCGAGCGUUAAUCGGAAUACUGGGCGUAAAGCGUGCGCAGGCGGCUUGCAAGACAGAUGUGAAAUCCCCGGGCUCAACCUGGGAACUGCAUUGUGACUGCAAGGCUAGAGUACGGCAGAGGGGGAUGGAAUUCCGCGUGUAGCAGUGAAAUGCGUAGAUAUGCGGAGGAACACCAAUGGCGAAGGCAAUCCCCUGGGCCUGUACUGACGCUCAUGCACGAAGCGUGGGGAGCAAACAGG
rnacentral:rRNA from 1 species